rnacentral:lncRNA from 1 species
AUGCCUGUGCUCCACAGCCCGCGGCGACCCGCAGGCAGGGCGGGCCCGCUCCGCCCCCGCCAUCACGGGACCGAAGGGGGGCGGGCCUCGGCGGGGCGGGCCUCGGCAGCGCGGCCUGGGCGCCCGCCCACUGCCGGCGUCGCCUCCGUAACAGCCCCUCAGCGGUCAGCAGCGGCUGCGAGGCCCCGGGGUCCGGGGAGAAGGCCCUGCCGGGGCGGGAGGCCUGGAGGACCGGGAGGUGGUCCCGGCAGAGCAGGAGGCCGGGCCCCCGGGGCCGGGGAGAAGGCCCUGCCGGGGCGGGAGGCCUGGAGGGCCGGGAGGCCUGGAGGGCCGGGAGGUGGUCCCGGCAGAGCAGGAGGCCGCAUAUUGCUCCUCCUGAAGGAGGGUUUUCCGCCUUGUCCUCGGCGGGGCCCGCGCCUGAAACCGCUGGAAGGAGUUUCUCUGACUACUCGCAAAGUUUGGAGGAGAGAGAUACCACCCACAGCAAAGGAGGAUCAAAUUAGGAAAUACUUAAAUAAGCUGAACAUAUACAAAACCAUGAAAUCUUGCAGCCAUGGAACAAGCAGGAGCAAGUUCAACAACAGUUGUGAAGUCCUGCACUUGAGGCAGAAAAACCUCAUGCACUGGUACAAGCUGGGCACUGGCUGGUGAGAGAAGCUUUGCAGAAAAGGACUGGAUGUCUUGAUGGACAGCAGGCUGAACCUGAGUCUGCAGUGUGACCUUGCAGUGAUGAAGGUAAACAGUAUCCUGGGGCGUAUAAGCAAGAUCAUCAUCAGUGGGCUGAGGAAAGUUAAUAUCCUCCAUUCUUGGAGAUUUUUCAGAAUUUGCCAGUGAGUUUCAAAAGGGCCACAAGCAACCUGACUUAACUGCAUGAGUAACCUUCCUUUGAGCAAGAGGUUGGACUAGAGACCUCCAAAGACAAUAUUCUAUGAUUCUGACACAAUAAAGAAGAUAAUCUGAUGCA